AGAUUCCAUUCUGCAAGCCUGAGGCCAGGGAGUUCUCCCUCAGAGCAGGAGACAGCAGGUUAUUUACACUGUAUUUGUGACCAGGGGUCACGGAGAGGGGCAAGGAGCUGAAUUCCAAGAAUGGAACAGAAUCUAACUCUCUCUGAAGGAAAUUCAGGGUUUGGAAAACUCCCAAAGAGCAAUAAUUCAACUGAACUAACCUGAUGAACUGUUUUUAAAUGAGUUUGGAGAAACAUAGUCAAACAUUGAACAGCUUCCUAGAACUGAAGCAACCGGGCAAAGUUACACACUCAAGAAAUGAAAGCUGCAUUUCCAAAGGGGACACUCUUGGCUAUGUCAAUGCAAGAUAUACAACCCAGACACUAAAUGUAUUAAAAGUGAUAUCUGUGAAAAGUUUUUUAAAACUGCUCUGAAAAGGACCAUUACAGAACUCUACAUCUUGGACAUCCAGCCCAACCUGUGAGCUAACGAGAAAACUCCUUUGGAGACUCCCAGAAGCAGAUAACUUCUAGAAUAGAAACCUUCUUCCCAAGAUUCUAUGGAACAAGAUGGCGCCCAUUUAGCAGACCCCAAAGGGAAGCCAGAUGGCAAGAGAAACUGUUGCUGUUGUCUAUAAAGGUUGUCCGCCGGGGAGUCCAGAGCAAGGUAGAGAAAGAGGACAGAGAAUCUGGGGCGACAGAUGGAACAUUGCAGCAACCCUGCCAAUUCAAAGCUGACCCUUACUUCAUGAAACCUUCCAGAUACCUGACCCUGACAGAUCCUUCCUUCUGUGGAGCUCACACACACCUUUCUUUUAGCAUUUGACACUCAUAACCUCACAUUAAUUCUUUAUAUGCAUGAAUCAUUUCCUGAGUAGAUGGUCAAAUCCUUGAGGGCAGGAAGGUGCUAUGAUGUAAUGGACAACAUCCUGUGUUUUCAAACGCUCAUGAAGAUUUAGAAAGAUAAUAUAUGCAGCAUCUUUAGUAGGUCACUGGGCACAUGCAGAAAGUGAUGAAUAAAUAGAAGAAUGAUUAUUCGUUAUUUUUCUAU
rnacentral:lncRNA from 1 species